rnacentral:tRNA from 1 species
AUCGUUAGCUUAGUUGGUAGAGCAUCAGACUCUUAAUCUGAGGGUCCUGGGUUCGAGUCCCAGA